UAAUACGGAGGUUGCAAGCGUUAUCCGGAUUCACUGGGUUUAAAGGGUGCGUAGGCGGAUUUGUAAGUCAGUGGUGAAAUCCUUCAGCUUAACUGAAGAAUUGCCAUUGAUACUGCAAGUCUAGAGUGUAGUUGAGGUGGCUGGAAUGUGUCAUGUAGCGGUGAAAUGCGUAGAUAUGACACAGAACACCGAUGGCGAAGGCAGGUCACCAAACUAUCACUGACGCUGAGGCACGAAAGCGUGGGGAUCAAACAGGAUUAGAUACCCUGGUAGUCCACGCCCUAAACGAUGGUUACUCGCUAUUGGUCCAUUAGGAUCAGUGGCUAAGCGAAAGCGUUAAGUAACCCACCUGGGGAGUACGGCCGCAAGGUUG
rnacentral:rRNA from 1 species